AGGCCACAAAAAAAUUGUCCUAGCGCCUUGCGGACUGCAGCAAGGGAAAUGUCUCUUCAGAGUGCGACGUAGUGGAGAAGGUGUAACUGUUGUUAUCAGCAUCUAGAAAGCACCAUUCAGUUGCUGGAGUACUUUCUAACACUGACCUUCUCCAUACUGCAUUGUUCUUAAUGGAUCUUGCUAUCAGCAGACAAUAUGGAAGUACCAUCAUAACAUCAAGUCAUUCCUGGGUGAAAAAUUAUCAUACUUCAUUUGGAGUUACUUGAAAGUUAAAUGUGAUUUUGAUGAUGCCUUCACUAUGUGGAUUACUACAUUUUGAGCACUGGGAAUACUCUGCCUUAAAGAAGGUGUGAAUCAUGACGAUGUGGUGAAAGACAGUGAUUUAUUGCUUUGGAGGACAUGCAUGUGUAUAAUUAAACGAUGCCCUUCAUCAAGAGACCAUGAACAGGAAGAUAAAACUCAGAAGGUUUCUCCUGGAAGAAUACAAUUUUUGAUACUCUGGACAUUCCUCUUAAUUGCGAGU